GGGCGUUGGGGGCGUUGGCCAAGACGGGCGAGUGGGCUUCUCGGGUUCUACUCUGUGAAGGCCAAGGCAAGGGCGUCGUCGCGCGCUGCCUGGCGGAGCCCAGCCCCUUCCCCACACUGUCGCUGACACGCCCGCCUGUCAAAGGCUCCGAGGCCCAGAUGAGCAGGGCGAUUUUAAAUGUCAGAUCCUGCCGGCCAUCCGCGACCGUCACCUGUGCGUCUUCAGCUCCUCAGGCUCCUCCGCUUGUCUCAGUUACAACUGGGAGCCCGGGUGGGCAGCCCUCAUUUUCUAUAUGGAUGAUGUCAUUCUCCUGCCAAAAACUCUUCAAUGACCUCCUACAGCAUUUGGCAUAAUAUGUUACUUGCCAGGGAGCCUGAAGUUUUCAUUAUCUGAAUUUCACCUUGGAAUUAGAGGGAAGAAAUUGGAUAGUGUUGUCUUCUGAAGGCACUAUUCAGAUGAAUCCACAAGAACUCAGAAGAAGAGAGGGAAUGCACUGAAGAAACUCAUUUACCCUUGUCCAUUA